rnacentral:lncRNA from 12 species
GCUGACUGAGUUUAGAGAUUGUUCAUGAUAAAUAAUGUGAUCCUUCAAGUUAAAACAACCUUUUGGUUGGGUGUCUCUGUGUCUUCUCUGUACUAAACUCAAGCGGUCUUUUCUACUUAAGGGCCAAUGAGACUCCUAACCUCCAGUCCUAGAAGAUGCCUGGAAACCUGCGCCCUUCGUCAGCCUCGUGAAUUCAUAAUCGCUUCUCUGGAUUCCUCUGUCUUCCAGCUGAUUCGUCCAUCGUUCAGAGGUAAGAAGCCUCACAGGGUGAAGAAAAAUAGUACCCAAAUUUUCUGUCAUUUCCAUGUGUUGUAAUAGAUUCACCUAAAGUAAUUACCUAGACUAUAUAUUCUCAGCCUCACUGGCUUGGCCAGAUGGUGUGUUCCUCUCCUCUACAGCCUGUUAGUUUAUUUUAGCAAACCCUUGAGACUGCUUUAACAUACCAUAAAUGGAGUGGAUGAAGGCCAGGUUCUUUCUAGGUUAAUGAUUUUGAGAUC